GAUGGCUUAGCUCAAUUGGUUAAGAGCAGUAUCCUGAUACGAUACAGGUUGAAAGUUCAAGUCUUUCAGUCAUCA
rnacentral:tRNA from 1 species